AGGAAGGACCAGGAUCCUGCAAUUGGUCUCUUCUCCCUUCAUCUACAGUUCCACUGGAUUCCUUCUCACCAACACCCUCCUGCAUUAUACCAUCAGUAGCCACAUUCUCAGAUCUUCUUUGAUCAUCCAUAGCUUCAAUACUAGCAGCCAUAUCAAUACCAAUUGGAAUUCUCAUGUCCAUAUUGUGAUCAGCUAUAGCAGUAGUAUAGAUAACAAUAU
rnacentral:lncRNA from 1 species